GGAAUCUACCAUGCUGUAGCAUGUGUAAACAUCCUACACUCUCAGCUGUGGACUCAAGGUGGCUGGGAGAGGGUUGUUUACUCCUUCUGCCAUGGACUGAACAUCUGAAGAUUUAAUAAGUGUUAGUUCAUUUCUGUG
ensembl:miRNA